rnacentral:piRNA from 1 species
UAGGAUCAAAGGUUUGUGCACCACCGCC